AUUGAACGCUGGCGGCAGGCCUAACACAUGCAAGUCGAGCGGAUGAAGGGAGCUUGCUCCUGGAUUCAGCGGCGGACGGGUGAGUAAUGCCUAGGAAUCUGCCUGGUAGUGGGGGAUAACGUCCGGAAACGGGCGCUAAUACCGCAUACGUCCUGAGGGAGAAAGUGGGGGAUCUUCGGACCUCACGCUAUCAGAUGAGCCUAGGUCGGAUUAGCUAGUUGGUGGGGUAAAGGCCUACCAAGGCGACGAUCCGUAACUGGUCUGAGAGGAUGAUCAGUCACACUGGAACUGAGACACGGUCCAGACUCCUACGGGAGGCAGCAGUGGGGAAUAUUGGACAAUGGGCGAAAGCCUGAUCCAGCCAUGCCGCGUGUGUGAAGAAGGUCUUCGGAUUGUAAAGCACUUUAAGUUGGGAGGAAGGGCAGUAAGUUAAUACCUUGCUGUUUUGACGUUACCAACAGAAUAAGCACCACUAACUUCGUG
rnacentral:rRNA from 1 species